UCAGACUUUCGUCAAGCGAUGAAAGCUUCAGUCAGUGUUGGUGUUUGGGAUUUGGCAUCUGGAUUGGUGCUUGGAUUUGGGGUGGUGUAUUUGGUGGGGGCUGGAUCUUUCAUUUGUAAGAUGACCAAUCAGCUCUUGACUUUCUUCUAGGGCCAAAGCUUGUUCACGCCACAAUGGAUAACUAGUUAGGGUGAGUUUGAGGGUAAUGAAUUUGCCAACAUUAAGAGAAAGAGUAGUUAUGGUAGAAGAGUUGUGAUGAACUAUGUGAAGCAAAGUGCUCACAUUGGCUCUAAUACAAAGAAGAAAAUAUGGAACUGAAUAAAGAAAAUGUUUUUAUUUCUCUUCUUGUAGUUUUGAGCGUGAGCACUAUGCAAUACAAGAGUAUAUAUUUAAAGGAAAUAAUACAAACAGAUUAACAUAAAUUCUAUCAACAAAUUAACGUAAAUUCUACAGAUAUUGUGUUCUUCCCAUCUUUGUCUUAUCUCCUUCUUUAAAUAUUUUUAACUGGCGUGGUUGAUGCAGCUAGAUGCUACUGGGCAUGAUGUUGUUUCGAUGCAUUCCUCCAAAGAAGGGAUAGGACUGGGAUAUAUUAUUUUGGACUGAUUUACUGUUAUCUCUUGCAAUAUUUCCAUAUCUUGUUGGACCAUAUUUUGGUUUGAAUUGGGGGUUUCCUUAUUACUGCUUUGAUCCUCACGAUAAUGGUUGCUGUCGAAUUGUCAUGAGCUAAUAAGAAAAUUUCAAACAUCCCAAAUUUAGUUUUGAUUUUGAUUUUUAUUGAAUUUGAUAAAACAAUUGGAUUUUCUUCCAUUUCUUCUCUUUGCUCUUGACAUUUUUCGAAAAUCCAUGAUUUUAUGAUCUCACAUUUGCGAUCUUUUACGCUUAGGGUUCAUCUUCUCCCAUCUUAUAUGUGGUCCCCUUCAACAACAAUCUAUUAAACCAUUUUGGUUACUGAAGUUUGAGUCAAAUUUCAAUUGGAUUAUUAAAUACAUAGUUUAGCCCCCGUUUGACUCCCAUUUUUGGUAAUGAAAAUGAGAGGAAUAGUAUUUUGAUGAAAAAAUGAGUGGUUGAAAAAGAAUGAAACUUUUUUGAUUUACGUGUAAUAUUAUUUUAUGGAAGAUUGUGUGGUUGAAAACAGGAGAGAGAAAAAUAGAAUUUAAUUUAAUGUAAUUUAAUGGGGGCCAAACAGGAUAUAAGUAGCAUUAGGUUGCCAUGCAACCUCAUUUGUUUUUUUUUUUUUUUUUUUUUUUUUUUUUAAAAAAAAAAAGUGAAACACACUUAUCUAUUAAAAGGCAUGUGCGCAUGCAAUAAAAUCAUUAAACACUUAAAUCUCAAUAAACAAAAAAAUUAAAUGAGAUUCAUCCCCGAAUAAUUGGUAAAAAUGAUGGCUCUGAGGAGGAGGCAUAGGAAAAUCGUGCCACAAAGUUUUUAUUCACUUUCCUUGAGCCAUGAAAAAUGUUUAUACAAAAAAUAAAAACUAAAACCGGUUUACCAUCUUUUAUUUAUUGAGUUAUCGAG
rnacentral:lncRNA from 1 species